GACAGAGGUGCCGAGCGUUAGGCGGAAUCACUGGGCUUAAAGCGUGUGUAGGCGGACCCAUAAGUACCUUGUGAAAUCCCACGGCUCAACCGUGGAACGGCUGGGUAUACUGGCGGUCUUGAGCCACCUAGGGGCAACUGGAACAAGCGGUGGAGCGGUGAAAUGCGUAGAUAUCGCUUGGAACGCCAACGGUGAAAACAGGUUGCUGGGGGUGUGCUGACGCUGAGACACGAAAGCCAGGGGAGCGAACGGGG
rnacentral:rRNA from 1 species